CCAAGAACCAGAAGAUGCUUGCAAAG
rnacentral:sRNA from 1 species